UACGUAGGGUGCAAGCGUUAAUCGGAAUUACUGGGCGUAAAGCGUGCGCAGGCGGUUUUGUAAGCCAGAUGUGAAAGCCCCGGGCUUAACCUGGGAAUGGCAUUUGGGACUGCAAGGCUUGAGUGCGGCAGAGGAGACUGGAAUUCCCGGUGUAGCAGUGAAAUGCGUAGAUAUCGGGAGGAACACCGGUGGCGAAGGCGGGUCUCUGGGCCAUAACUGACGCUGAGAAGCGAAAGCAUGGGGAGCGAACAGG
rnacentral:rRNA from 1 species